AUAAGGGCGCACGGUGGAUGCCUUGGCACUAGGAGCCGAUGAAGGACGGGACUAACACCGAUAUGCUUUGGGGAGCUGUACGUAAGCUAUGAUCCAGAGAUUUCCGAAUGGGGGAACCCAGCAUCUUUAAUAGGAUGUUACGAUUGUGUGAAUACAUAGCACAUUCGAGGUAGACGCAGAGAACUGAAACAUCUAAGUACCUGCAGGAAGAGAAAGAAAAUUCGAUUCCCUGAGUAGCGGCGAGCGAAACGGGAAAAGCCCAAACCAACAAGCUUGCUUGUUGGGGUUGUAGGACUCCAAUAUGGUCGUUCUUUCAGAUAGUCGAAUGACUUGGAAAAGUCAGUCAAAGAGGGUAAAAACCCCGUAGACGAAAUGUGGAAGACACCUAGGAGGAUCCUGAGUACGGCGGAACACGAGAAAUUCCGUCGGAAUCCGGGAGGACCAUCUCCCAAGGCUAAAUACUCCCUAGUGACCGAUAGUGAACCAGUACCGUGAGGGAAAGGUGAAAAGCACCCCGGAAGGGGAGUGAAAUAGAACCUGAAACCGUGUGCCUACAACAAGUCAAAGCCCGUUAAUGGGUGAUGGCGUGCCUUUUGUAGAAUGAACCGGCGAGUUACGAUUGCAUGCGAGGUUAAGUUGAAGAGACGGAGCCGCAGCGAAAGCGAGUCUGAAUAGGGCGUUUGAGUAUGUAGUCGUAGACCCGAAACCAUGUGAUCUACCCAUGUCCAGGUUGAAGGUGCGGUAAAACGCACUGGAGGACCGAACCCACGUACGUUGAAAAGUGCGGGGAUGAGGUGUGGGUAGCGGAGAAAUUCCAAACGAACUUGGAGAUAGCUGGUUCUCUCCGAAAUAGCUUUAGGGCUAGCCUCGGAAUUGAGAAUGAUGGAGGUAGAGCACUGUUUGGACUAGGGGCCCAUCUCGGGUUACCGAAUUCAGAUAAACUCCGAAUGCCAUUCAUUCAUAUCCGGGAGUCAGACUGUGAGUGAUAAGAUCCAUAGUCGAAAGGGAAACAGCCCAGACCACCAGCUAAGGUCCCAAAAUAUAUGUUAAGUGGAAAAGGAUGUGGGGUUGCACAGACAACUAGGAUGUUGGCUUAGAAGCAGCCACCAUUUAAAGAGUGCGUAAUAGCUCACUAGUCGAGUGACCCUGCGCCGAAAAUGUACCGGGGCUAAACAUAUUACCGAAGCUGUGGAGUACACCUUUAGGUGUAUUGGUAGGAGAGCGUUCUAAGGGCGUCGAAGGCAGAUCGUGAGGACUGCUGGAGCGCUUAGAAGUGAGAAUGCCGGUAUGAGUAGCGAAAGACAGGUGAGAAUCCUGUCCACCGAAUGACUAAGGUUUCCUGGGGAAGGCUCGUCCGCCCAGGGUUAGUCGGGACCUAAGCCGAGGCCGAUAGGCGUAGGCGAUGGAUAACAGGUUGAUAUUCCUGUACCCGUUGUUUUUGUUUGAGCAAUGGAGGGACGCAGG
rnacentral:rRNA from 1 species